rnacentral:rRNA from 1 species
GACGAACGCUGGCGGCGUGCCUAAUACAUGCAAGUAGAACGCACAGUUUAUACCGUAGCUUGCUACACCAUAGACUGUGAGUUGCGAACGGGUGAGUAACGCGUAGGUAACCUGCCUGGUAGCGGGGGAUAACUAUUGGAAACGAUAGCUAAUACCGCAUAAUAUAAAUUAUUGCAUGAUAAUUAAUUGAAAGGUGCAAUUGCACCACUACCAGAUGGACCUGCGUUGUAUUAGCUAGUAGGUGAGGUAACGGCUCACCUAGGCGACGAUACAUAGCCGACCUGAGAGGGUGAUCGGCCACACUGGGACUGAGACACGGCCCAGACUCCUACGGGAGGCAGCAGUAGGGAAUCUUCGGCAAUGGACGAAAGUCUGACCGAGCAACGCCGCGUGAGUGAAGAAGGUUUUCGGAUCGUAAAGCUCUGUUGUAAGAGAAGAACGGGUGUGAGAGUGGAAAGUUCACACUGUGACGGUAUCUUACCAGAAAGAGACGGCUAACUACGUG